GAUGGCCAUCGUACAAGAACUAAUUACUACUGAAGCAGAGCACUGCUGUGGACUGCAAGGCAUUGCAGAACAGCACGUGGAAGGCACAGCUGUAGGUCUGUGGUGGUUCCUGCUGCCUGCGCUGCUAGCUCACAUCAACACAAGCGAAGUUUGCAGUUUUAGGAAGGUGCUGAGAAACAACGAAGGCUUUCUGAAGAGAUUUCUUCAAAGAUCUGAUUGUACUACUGUGAAGGUAAAAAAUUGCACUAUCCUUUCCUGACAGUGAGUAACAGCCAACCAAAUAAAUAAAUAAGUACUGCUGAGUUU